rfam:Epulopiscium sp. Nele67-Bin004 Nele67MMBin003_9, whole genome shotgun sequence.
GUCAAGGUCUUUUUUAAGACCACAACCUUUGUACUGUAUAUAUUAU